UUUAAGAAUCUAACGUAUAUUUAUUUGUUUAAAUAUUACCAAAGGGUAAAAAAAAAAUAAGGAGGUGUAGGGAGUGUGUGAUGGUGGAAGGAGUAACUCUCCCAUACCUUUGAUGUGUAUUUAUAGGUUUUUCAUUGGGCUUUUGAUUAAGAUCGACCUACUUAUGGCCCAAUUUCAUUAAACCUGGGGGUGUUGCUCCCUACACCUCUCCAAGUGGGACCUGUACCUCCCCAUUAAUUUAAUUUAUUUCAAAAAUAUUCUACACCUCCCCACUAUUUUCUUUUAUUCCA
rnacentral:lncRNA from 1 species